rnacentral:rRNA from 1 species
GAUGAACGCUGGCGGCGUGCCUAAUACAUGCAAGUCGAGCGAACAGACGAGGAGCUUGCUCCUCUGACGUUAGCGGCGGACGGGUGAGUAACACGUGGAUAACCUACCUAUAAGACUGGGAUAACUUCGGGAAACCGGAGCUAAUACCGGAUAAUAUAUUGAACCGCAUGGUUCAAUAGUGAAAGACGGUUUUGCUGUCACUUAUAGAUGGAUCCGCGCCGCAUUAGCUAGUUGGUAAGGUAACGGCUUACCAAGGCAACGAUGCGUAGCCGACCUGAGAGGGUGAUCGGCCACACUGGAACUGAGACACGGUCCAGACUCCUACGGGAGGCAGCAGUUGGGAAUCUUCCGCAAUGGGCGAAAGCCUGACGGAGCAACGCCGCGUGAGUGAUGGAGGUCUUCGGAUCGUAAAACUCUGUUAUUAGGGAAGAACAAAUGUGUAAGUAACUAUGCACGUCUUGACGGUACCUAAUCAGAAAGCCACGGCUAACUACGUG